GCCCCUCUGCUCCACAUCCUCCUGAGCGACCCGCCCACCCUCGCCGAGUCGCCCUGCGGCUUCGUCGUCGUCGUGCCCGGGACCUCGACGACGACCAGCACCGCUGCUGCUGCUUCGUCUCCGCCGGACGACGAGGCGGCGGCGGCGGCGGCGCUGCUGGUGGUGGUCACCACCGCGCCCUGCGAUCCCCAGAACAGGACGUUCGUCGGCAGCUGGGCGUUGGCCGGCUCCGGCUGCGCAGGAGGGAGAGCGAGCGGAGGAGGGGCGGCGCCGGCGGCGGCGUCGGCGACGACGGCGAGGCGGCAGAGCGGGCAGGUGGGGUGGGAGCGCAGCCACAGGUCGACGCACUCGGCGUGGAAGCCGUGGCCGCACCUGGGCAGGAACCGCGCCGCCUCGCCGUCCUCCACCUCCGCGAGGCACACCGCGCACUCCAGCGGCGGCGCCGCCUCCGCCCUGUGCACCGUCACCGGCAGCGCCCGCAGCACCGCCGGGUCAACGCCGCCUUGCCCGCCAGCCUUGGCGGCAUCUAUGCCGACGACGCCAGCCAUCACGCCACGGCCGCCGCGCUGGCGCCCACUCGACGCCGACGACGACCCCGCGUCGCUGUCGCGGCGGCGCAUCGCGGCGAGGAAGUGGUGCAUGACGAAGACGAACGCGAGGGCGACGAGGACGACGACGACGCCGGACAGGACGACGUCGCCGUCGACCACCACGGUCGGACUUGCCUGCAGCCCUCCUCCCGGCGAGACCACGCCGCCGUCCGCGUCUCCCACCGCCAACGCCGACAUGCUCGAUCUGCCUUUGCCUCUGCGCGAUCGCGAGCUUCUGAAAUAUAUUGAGGGCAUGGGCCGGCUCGCCACAUAA
rnacentral:lncRNA from 1 species